rnacentral:rRNA from 1 species
AUUGAACGCUGGCGGAAUGCUUUACACAUGCAAGUCGAACGGCAGCACGGGGGCAACCCUGGUGGCGAGUGGCGAACGGGUGAGUAAUACAUCGGAACGUGCCCGGUCGUGGGGGAUAACGUAGCGAAAGUUACGCUAAUACCGCAUACGAUCUGAGGAUGAAAGCGGGGGACCUUCGGGCCUCGCGCGAUCGGAGCGGCCGAUGUCAGAUUAGGUAGUUGGUGGGGUAAAGGCCUACCAAGCCGACGAUCUGUAGCUGGUCUGAGAGGACGACCAGCCACACUGGGACUGAGACACGGCCCAGACUCCUACGGGAGGCAGCAGUGGGGAAUUUUGGACAAUGGGCGAAAGCCUGAUCCAGCCAUUCCGCGUGCAGGACGAAGGCCUUCGGGUUGUAAACUGCUUUUGUAUGGAACGAAAAGGCUCUGGCUAAUACCUGGGGCUCAUGACGGUACCGUAAGAAUAAGCACCGGCUAACUACGUG